GAUGAACGCUAGCGGGAGGCCUAACACAUGCAAGCCGAGCGGUAUUGUUUCUUCGGAAAUGAGAGAGCGGCGUACGGGUGCGUAACACGUGUGCAACCUGCCUUUAUCUGGGGGAUAGCCUUUCGAAAGGAAGAUUAAUACUCCAUAAUAUAUUGAACGGCAUCGUUUAAUAUUGAAAGCUCCGGCGGAUAGAGAUGGGCACGCGCAAGAUUAGCUAGUUGGUGAGGUAACGGCUCACCAAGGCGAUGAUCUUUAGGGGGCCUGAGAGGGUGAUCCCCCACACUGGUACUGAGACACGGACCAGACUCCUACGGGAGGCAGCAGUGAGGAAGAUUGGUCAAUGGGUGCAAGCCUGAACCAGCCAUCCCGCGUGAAGGACGACUGCCCUAUGGGUUGUAAACUUCUUUUGUAUAGGGAUAAACCUACCCUCGUGAGGGUAGCUGAAGGUACUAUACGAAUAAGCACCGGCUAACUCCGUG
rnacentral:rRNA from 1 species